GACGAACGCUGGCGGCGUGCUUAACACAUGCAAGUCGAACGAAAAGAGGGAAAGAGCUUGCUCUUUCCGGAAUUGAGUGGCAAACGGGUGAGUAACACGUAAACAACCUGCCUUCAGGAUGGGGACAACAGACGGAAACGACUGCUAAUACCGAAUAAGUUCCAAGAGCCGCAUGGCCCAUGGAAGAAAAGGUGGCCCCUACCUGUAAGCUAUCGCCUGAAGAGGGGUUUGCGUCUGAUUAGCUGGUUGGAGGGGUAACGGCCCACCAAGGCGACGAUCAGUAGCCGGUCUGAGAGGAUGAACGGCCACACUGGAACUGAGACACGGUCCAGACUCCUACGGGAGGCAGCAGUGGGGAAUCUUCCGCAAUGGGCGAAAGCCUGACGGAGCAACGCCGCGUGAGUGAUGACGGCCUUCGGGUUGUAAAACUCUGUGAUCCGGGACGAAAAGGCAGAGUGCGAAGAACAAACUGCAUUGACGGUACCGGAAAAGCAAGCCACGGCUAACUACGUG
rnacentral:rRNA from 1 species